CAAAUGAAGGCAUCCUGUGAGGUUUCUCAUGUGGCUCUGUCCAUAUGGCUUAUGGGAGUGCAGCACAGAAACACUGAAGCAUGGUCCUGUUCCACAGUGUUGGAGAGUUUAUUCUUUAGCCUUUGGGCUAAUAAGGGCAGCAUCUUGUAUAUUCCUACACCUUCCCAGAGCCCUUGGGUUAUGACUUGGGAGGUAAACCAUGCAAUGCAUUU